rnacentral:lncRNA from 1 species
ACGAUUGAGGAGGGCAGCAACAAGGGCAUCAUCGUGCUCGUCACCAGCCAGAAGGAGGGCGCCAUCACCGGCGGCCCCGCCUUCGUCCAGGCCGUCGGCGACCAGAUCCUCGACGCCACCGUCUCCGAGAACCUCCCAGGUACUUAGGCCGGCCGUCGAGCAUGUGUGUCACUUACACGUCGACACUUAGGAUGGCCUCAGAUCCUGAACCUGUUACCUGCAGUGCUGGCGACGGACGAGAAGUACAACGAGGCGAUCUUCAGCACGGCGAAGCGGCUGGCGGCGGCGAUCGACGGGCUGCCGGACACGGGCGGCCCGUCGUUCAAGGAGAACAAGAGGGAGUCCAACUUCAAGACCAAGGAGGAGACGGAGGAGAAGCGCGGGCAAUUCACGCUCGUCGUCGGAGGCCUGCUCG